GACGAACGCUGGCGGCGUGCCUAAUACAUGCAAGUAGGACGCAGUUGCGAACGGGUGAGUAACGCGUAGGUAACUACCUAGUAGAGGGGGAUAACUAUUGGACACGAUAGCUCAUACCGCAUACUAGUAGCUGGCGCUGCGUUGUAUUAGCUAGUAGGUAGGGUGAUGGCCUACCUAGGCAACGAUACAUAGCCUACCUGUGAGGGUGAACGGCCCAACUGGGACUGAGACCCGGCCCCGAAUCCUACGGGAGGCAGCAGUAGGGAAUCUUCGGCAAUGGGGGGAAACCUGACCGAGCAACUCCGCGUUAGUGAAGAAAGUUUUCGGAUCUUAAAGCUCUGUUGUUAAGGAAGCGGUACUUAACCAGAAAGGGCCGGCUAACUACGUGCCAGCAGCCGCGGUAAUUC
rnacentral:rRNA from 1 species